rnacentral:rRNA from 1 species
GACGAACGCUGGCGGCGUGCCUAAUACAUGCAAGUCGAACGCUUCUUUCCUCCCGAGUGCUUGCACUCAAUUGGAAAGAGGAGUGGCGGACGGGUGAGUAACACGUGGGUAACCUACCCAUCAGAGGGGGAUAACACUUGGAAACAGGUGCUAAUACCGCAUAACAGUUUAUGCCGCAUGGCAUAAGAGUGAAAGGCGCUUUCGGGUGUCGCUGAUGGAUGGACCCGCGGUGCAUUAGCUAGUUGGUGAGGUAACGGCUCACCAAGGCCACGAUGCAUAGCCGACCUGAGAGGGUGAUCG